CAGCAGCCACGGUAAUACGAAGGGGGCUAGCGUUGCUCGGAAUUACUGGGCGUAAAGGGAGCGUAGGCGGGUCGUUUAGUCAGAGGUGAAAUCCCGGGGCUCAACCUCGGAACUGCCUUUGAUACUGGCGACCUUGAGUAUGGGAGAGGUGAGUGGAACUCCGAGUGUAGAGGUGAAAUUCGUAGAUAUUCGGAAGAACACCAGUGGCGAAAGCGACUCACUGGCCCAUUACUGACGCUGAGGCUCGAAAGCGUGGGGAGCAAACUGGAUUAGAUACCCCUGUAGUCCCUGUCUCUUAUAC
rnacentral:rRNA from 1 species